rnacentral:lncRNA from 1 species
CCCCCCUUGUAUAUGUAUAUAAAGGUAAGGCCUUAAUUUUCCCUAUCCAGGGGGGUGCGGUGCUUUUUGUUUUUUGUUUGUGCGUGCAGUAAGGAGAUGUUUGGGAUAAAAGCACCGUCUCCCUUCUAACUAGGAGAGAAAGCUCUGCGAGCUUCCCCUUUGCUUUAUAGAAAUGGAUGGAAACGCCCGCCCUGAUGAGGUGAGGCUUGGUAAUGGCUCAGGUUUGCAUCACCAAGGAUCUCAUUUUCUUUCUACUGAUAAUAUAAUAAGACUUUUUCUCUUCAUAAUAUUUUACCCUCUCUUAGAGAAAAUCUUAUUUCUCUGUCUAAGUUUAACUAAUCCUGUCUCUGUUGAAUUUUUUGCUUCUUUGCCAGGAACGAUUCUUCUCCGCGACCAGAAUAGAAAGGGGGUCUACGAGUGGCCUCAUCCUUCUUUCUCUAAUAAGCCUGCUGCCUCUGUUAGCGUCAAAGUCCCCUUGUGUGGCAUCGUCGGUUAGGGCACCCAGCAUCUCGCAUUCUCCAGCAUCUUCUUAGGUCUCAGUCUGCCUAUAAGUGCUAUGAACCAGAGUCCAACCGCGCAUUUUGACUUCUCGGCAUGUAUCAAGAGUAAGCAAAGCUUCCUUUUCAAUCUCUAGAGUCCCAGUCCACCCGUCUUUCCUCUACAUCCUACUCUCGCUGGACUCCUUCUUUCACCUCGCUUAUUUCUCACCUUCUUUUUCUGUUUCACACUCUUCUACUCUCUCUCCGUUGGUUCCGCUCUCAACCUCUUUCUGGCUGCUGAAGACUCCUUCACGGCCUCUGACCAUUUCACAAGAACAAUCCUUGUCUCCUGCCCAUAUGAGCCUACGCCACAUAUCUCCCAGCCAACUGAAGAGCAACCUGUCAAUCCCAUUUCAGCAACCUGCUUCCUCACCUAUAUUGCCUGAUGACACGAGCACAGUGCCAGCCUUGCCCUACAUCUUCUGACCAUCCCCCGUCCCCUUCACAACCCCAAGCCUCCAUCUUAUCCAUCAGCCCUUUAUAAGUAUAAGCCUCUCCCUCUCGUACUCAUCCCAUGACAAGAAGAGCCCAGAAUCAUAUCUACAAACCUAAACAGUGAAAUUUAGCUUCUAAACACUCACUGCCCGACACUAUAGAUAGAGCCUACAUGUGUUAGCCAAGCUCUUAAAGAUCCUAGUGCCGCCAUGUCUGCUGAAUUUGAUGCAUUAAUUCGUAAUGGCACCUGGGAACUAGUACCAUCAUCUCCUCAUCAAAAGAUUGUUGGGUCUAAGUGGGUCUUUCGGGUUAAGCGGAAACGGCAGUGUUGAGCGGUACAGGGCUCGCCUCGUUGCCAAUUCAUCAGCGGCCUGGGAUUGAUUAUUUUGAUAGAUUCAGCCCUGCGGUUAAGCCUAUCACUAUUCGUGUUUGAGUAUUGCUCUAUAUCAUGGCUGGACUCUUCGUCAAUUGGAUGUCAACAACGCUUUUCUACAGGGUCACUUAACCGAAAAGAGGUAUUCAUGUCUCAACCUCCCGGUCGAUACUCUAAUUUUUCUUCUCAUGUGUGGCAGGCUUCGAAAAGCAAUCUAUGGUCUUAAACAGGCUCCUCGCGCCUGGUAUCAUGAGUGAAAUUUCUGAUAGCUGCUUACCAAUGCCCAGUCCGACACCUCUUUGUUUUGUUCAUUUAUCAUCAGAAUGGAAUUCAAGCCUAUUUCCUGGUUUAUGUGGAUGAUCUUUUGAUCACUGGCAGUAGUCCAAUCCAACUUUUAUCAAUCAGUUCAGUCAGUUGUUGUCCAAGAAGUUCUCACUAAAGGAUCUUCGAGAUUUACAUUAUUUUCUCGGUCUUGAAGUGAUUCCUACAGCAGGUGGUCUAUUUCUUACUCAACAUAAAUACAUUCGUGAUAUUUUUGAAUCUACUGGUAUGGCUGGAGCCAAGGAAGUUUAUACGCCCAACUCUGUCUUGAAUUUGACCCUCGGCUGAUGCUACUUUAUUUCGGCGGGUCAUUGGGCAGUUACAAUAUUUGGCUUUCACAAAAACCUUUGCUGUUCAUAUCCCAGUUCAUGCAUCGUCCCUCGCAACAACAUUGGCAACUUGUCAAGCGUCUCAUUUGAAGGGUUAUCCUGGUCUUUAUUUGAGGCCUUUAACUCUCACUGCUUUUUCGGACGGGCUGGAAAUUUGGAGGAUAGGUCCUCCACUACUGCAUACAUUCUUUAUUUGGGUGGCAAUGCUAUUUCAUGGAGCUCUCGUAAACAAAGAUCAAUUGCUCGCUCCUCCACAGAGGCUGAAUAUCGCGCUCUCGCUACAGCUGCUUCAGAGGUUUGUUGGGUACUUUCUCUACUCACUGAGCUCGGUUAUCCAGCCCACAAGCCACCAACAAUUUUCUGUGACAAUGUGGGCUUUUCCUGCCCUGCCAAUCUGCUUGAACACUGAAGCUUGAAAGCAAGUACGAGCUGGCUGCCAAUCCACUAGAACACUUCCUUCAGAAAGAUUGGGAGGAAUUCAUCUAUGGAUUGGGCUUGAUUGGGAUGAAUUCUGAUUAGGGAAGCCGGUACGCACUGGGGACAGCUAAGAACGUGUAGUGACUGUACCACUCUUUUUGACUCACAUCGGGCACUCCACCGUCAUGAUUUAAGGAAGCAGGCUAGCUAGUGCUAUAGAUAUAGAUUGAGUCCGGCAAGCUUUUAAGUAAAUACAAGGUGCUCCACUUCGAGAAUAUUUAGUAACUAAUUGGUGAAGAAGGAAGGCUAGCUUAAAAGAAGUCAUUCAUUGGCGAGGAAGACUGAUCUCUUUUACACAAGGUCGAGAAGUCCUGACCUUCACUGGUAGUUCAGCAAGCAACCAAACCAAGGCAACGAAGCCGUAUGAGUUCCAGCCAAUCCAUCCGCUUUCAAGCAGUCGUAUCAGUCUUUCAAGUGGGGAAGAUCAAUUCCUUUUCAUCCCCAGCGAGCUCCGUUCUGAGAGCAGGUUUCAACUCUCAGCAUGACUCUUUGUCCCAGGCGGCGAAGAAGCAAGGAAGUCGAAUCAAGGGAGUUUACUUGCUUACUUGUUAAAGUUAAAGUAAGGCAGAGGCUGUUCCGCUGUCUUGUUAAAGUAAGGUAGUGUAAACUCUCGAAAUUCUCUGCUCAAAUAAGCUUUCCUAAAAUGAUGAAAGGCAAGAAGCUCCGUCUCCGUCCCUUCUCUUCUGUCCAAGACUCUUGAAUCAGUCUCGUCUUACAUUCCCUCCUCUCCGCCUAGGCGAAAGAGAGUCCCGCCUAUGGUCUACUCAAAGAGAAAGAUUGUGGGGCAGAUCAAUCCAUUCCGUUGUUCAGGGAAGAUCCAUGGAAUAGGAAAGCCAAAACGGAUCUAUCAAAACAGAUCUAUUCUAAGUCAUUCCCAAUACGGAUCUAUUCUAAGUCAAUACUGGGUCGAUACGAGACUCUUUCUUAGUUAAGUGGGGCUUGAAAGCUGUCUACUACGAAUCCUGCAGGUUCAGUAACAAGUUCUCAUCCAAGUCAACGGUACAGUCAUCACCACUCCAUUUCGAAUAUAACGAUUUCUCGUGAGCAAAGAAAGAGAUUUGAUCACGAGUUUGAGGCGGUCAAUGAAAUGCUUUAGUAAAGGAAAGAUCCGCCUUUUAGCAGUCUCACUUGAAUUCUCCCUCUCUCCGGUGGUGAUCUCACUUCAGUAGUGGGAUGAAUCUGAAGGGUGGUCCACGAUCAGAAGAGAACGGCUGCUUUGACUCCGGCGGCUUGAGAUAGAUCAGUUUCAAAACUACAGGUUAAGUAUGCCCUUCUCAAUAUAGAUUCUAUAGAAGAGUCUAAUUGCGAAUCCUUUUCAAUAUAGGAAAACAGCACGCUCGUCCCCUCAAGAGAUGCCCGCCCAAACUGAACUACUUACUUCACUUGCGAAUAAUAUACUACUGAACACCAAUCCACGAUUGCUAAAGAUCGCUAAAGAGAAAAUGUUAACUUGAUUUGUAUUAUUUCUUUUACGCUUUCAUCAGCUUAGGUCCCCUCCUUUGUGGUCAAGCAGGAUAAGAAACUCAAUAAGACUCUGAAUUUGAGCUGUCCUCGGAUGUACACCUGCUUGUGGCACCUCGGAAUUACAGACUUACUACGGUAAGAGACCUGGACCCAGCGCGUUCGUUGGAGUCGUGGAAGCGAAGCAAGGCUCGUUAUAGAGGAAAUAUGGAAUCUUCUAGAAAAAAGUGGAACCCAUGCGCCUUUCCCCCUAAGCCUAGAAGCAAGCCAAGCUAACAGAGGGAGGCAAAGCCGGAGUGCAGUAGGUUCCGUGUAGGCAGGGUAGCGCCCCGUAGAGCUUCUGUCGAUUGGAAACAAUUCAUUCCACCCUGGUCAAAUGGCUUCAAACGCUGAUUUCCAGAAUGGACUGUCUGGCAAACAAACAGGUAGGCUAGGAAGUCAGGGCUAGCUUAAGAGGAGAAGGCGAAUCUGAAAGUCCGUUACGAUUGGGCAUAUCUGUUCUCUUCAAAUAAGGGGCACUAAUACGGUUCACUACCAGUGGAGGAGAGGCAAGGCAGGAAGCGUUAGCUCCCUAUCCAUAAGCCAGCCAUUCCAGACCAUCGGGAGCAGCCAACCACUGGAGUUCCCGAACUCGCUCAGGUAGUUGAAGGAACUACAUUCAACCCAUGGCCCACCGAGACAGUACCGCUAACAGCACACCAAGCCAAUCUCGAUGUAUUUAGCAUUACACAAGCAAAGCCGCUUCAAGUACUUACUGUACUAGCAAUUAGCUUAUUCGUAGUGUACUUUAAAAGUGUAACUGAAUAUGAUCCUAGAAAACAUACUGAAUUCAAUCAACAAUAUCUCCCCUGCCAUUCUUCGUUGCUUCACUCUCCUCCUGCUCCCUCUUCUGUCGUACAUGUGCUCACCAUAAGCCUCAAGAUCCGCUUUAAACCCGAUGACAGAAAAAGUGGCUCCGGGGGAAGAUCAAAAGUAUCCACUCCCUUCGCUCGAGGAUCUCUAUGAAUCUGACUCUCAUUUUUUUUUUUUCCGAUGAGGAAGACAAUGAAGAAGGAUGGACCGCGUGUACCAAGCGCAAGGCGAGCUAAAAGAAGAAGAUACAGCCUUCCCACGUGUCUAAAUUGAGCAUUAAGUUGGUGCCUCCUCAAAAGAAGUCUACUAAAAAGAAAAAUAAAGAAAGAAAGUCGAAGGGUUUGGUUUCUCAACAGCCUAUGCCUUUCAUUACUCUCGAAGAGCUCAUCAAACAGCUAACGGAUGAGUACGUUCAGAAGCAACGCACACCUGUAAUGCUAGACGAGUUUAUGUCAGAAGGAUGGCGCACCAGAAUCCCUCGUAAUGAUGAUGAUGACGAGGAUCACAGUCCGAUUAUCAUUGAGUUUUGGGGGAGAAUUGAUGCAGUCACAGACUCAGAUUAUGAUAAGGAAACCCCCUAUUCUUCCCAAAAGAAAAAGAACCUUCGCUUCUCUCUUUAAUCAAAAUACGUGUAGCCUUUGCUUUCUCUUGUUCUUAUCAGUACAGUCAACAAUAAAUAAUCAGCUAUUUCAAGAACCUUAUCAGGGUGGGGUGAGCCCCUAGCCCGCCUGAAGAUACUCAUCCGUGAGGAUAGGGUGUAGCCUCGGGGAGGAAUUAGAUCCGCUAGAAGGGCUUCGUAGGGAAGAGAACUGAUCUUCGUCCAGGAUGUCACCCUUGGACGAAAAAAAGAGAAGUUCUCUCAACUACGUCGAACCCUUUUGUUAUUUUUCGACCGUUACAAAAUGGGUUAUUGGUCGGAUAGAUCUCAACCACUCUUCUAGACUAAUAUUUCUAGGCAUAGCAAGCUUUUCUAUCUAUAGAGAUAGUCGCAUGUAAUGACAGAUCACAGCUAUAUGAAAGUAAGUAGUAAACUACCAUAAUCGCGAGUCGUUUUUCUUUCUUACGUAGAAAGUACUUUACUUUAUUUCUAAGAAAGGAUUUCUCCAGCCUAUUCUACGUUCAAAAAUUUUAAAUUGUGGUAAAUCUUGCUUUCUUCUGGCUACUAGUGGGAAUUUUCUCUCAACUACGUCGACCCUCCUUUUUUAUUUGUCUUACCCAUUCAGGAACUGCCGCGUGAGCAGGUUCUUGUAUCAUAGCUUGAGUUAUUCCCGAAGGGCCUUCUAACCUGCGGCUUUCCUGAGGUUUAAAACAGGGCUGUCAAUUAACUUUUUGCUUAUUGCUCCCGAAUAGAAUAUUCCAUAUUACCUCUUUCUUCUUUGUUUUUUGUUGGUUUUGCGAAAUCAGUGCCCGCUUUUAACGUUAACGGGAAAGGGAAAGGCUUGACAAAUUUUUUCUUUUACUUAAGGUGUAAUACUCACUUGUAAAUGAUUGGUGUCAGAAUUUUUCACUGAUCAGGUGUGAUCAGUCUCAUCCGUGUAAGAAUUAGGAAUUCCUCUUCCAACUCGUCCCGGAAUAGGCGUUAUGGCAAAGAACAAGAAGAAAACAAAAGGAGAAAUUUGUCCAAUAGUAACAAAAGGUGCCUCCACAGGUUGACAUCCGAUCCAACCUAGUAAUAAGCAAUCCGCCAAAAGCAACCAAAAUAUUCCUUGGUGAAUCGGGCGAAAACUUGAACUACGCACAUACAUACUUUUAAAAAAAGGUAAAGCCAACAGACAUAUAAAAACUGGUGCUAUUGCGGCUACACCUCCCGAUUUGUCAGGUAUACUACGAAGAAUGGCAUGGAUCGGUAGGAAAUACCAUUCCGGCACAAUAUGAGGCGGGGUGGGCAUCGGAUUAGCAGGUAUAUAAUUGUCGGGAUGCCCCAAAACAUUAGGAGCAUAAAAAAUCCAAAUGGAAAAAAAGAUAGCAAAAGCUACCCAACCUACUAGAUCCUUUACAUAAAAAUAAGGGUAAAAAGAAAUUUUAUCCAUCUCUGAAUGUACACCCAAUGGAUUAUUUGAUCCAUAUUGAUGCAAUGCGGCCAGAUGAAGAAGACUGGCGCCUACUAAAAUAAAGGGGAGUAAAUGAUGAAGACUAAAAAAACGAUUUAAGGUGGCAUUGUCCACGGAGAAACCACCCCAAAGCCAAGUCACUAUGGUAUCUCCUACUACAGGUAUGGCGCUAGCUAAGCUUGUAAUUACUGUAGCUCCCCAAAAGCUCAUCUGACCCCAAGGGAGUACGUAUCCUGUAAAAGCUGUCACAAUCAUUAAUAGGAAGAUGACAACUCCGAGACACCAAACAAAUUCCCUAGGACUGCUAUAACUCGCAUGAUAUAGACCACGAAAAAUAUGAAGGUGAACCACAAUGAGAAACAUACUUGCCCCAUUAGCAUGCAUAUAACGGAGCAACCAGCCCCCUUCCACAUCUCUCAUAACGUGUUCUACGCUGUUGAAAGCUAGAUCCACAUGAGGUGUGUAAUGCAUAGCUAAAAAAACGCCAGUCACUAUCUGAAUGACUAAACAAACCCCAGCUAACGGACCGAACCCCCACCAAUAACUAAGAUUGCUCGGGGUUGGAUAAUCUAUCAAAUGCUGAUUAAGUGUGGAGGAUAUAGGUUGUUUAAGAAGAGAGAAUCGUUGGUUCCUUAUAGUCAUUUCUCUUUCCUAUCGUGACAACUCUUGUUCCCCCACCCUUUUAGCGUUCUGGGCCCUACUUACUCAAAAUUAGAUAUUACAUAUAUAAUAUCUAGUAACCUUUCUUUUACUUUCGAAGGAUGGAGUGGGUAUGCAGCGAAAGAAGCGCCGAGGGGGUCAUCCUGGGUUACUGAAGAGUCGUCCGACCGCUCGGUGACCGAAUCAGAGAGGGUUUUACCGCUUUCUCUUCUCUCCAGCACUCUCGGACGGAUCAUCUUGCUGCAACAAAGCAAGCUUAAGAAUAGAAGAAAUCUAAUGGGAAUUUAGGUCUCUGUCCGCUUGGAAGAUUCUUCUUUCCUCUUCAGUGAAAGAGGGCAAGGGUGUGUGGGAGAAAGAAUUCUAAAAGGGGAGAAGAUCUCGUCCACCAAGUGGAACAGAGUGCGACCCCUAAGCAAUUGGGGUGGGGUCCAUAUCAUCUUAAAACUUUACUAUUCCACUUUAGCUAAGCUAAUGUGGAAUAGGAUGACUCAGCGCGUCAGGAAAAGCCCCUUAUUGCCUUGAUUGAAUUUGGCUUCGCUGCGCCCUGAAUCAAUCAAAAAGCUUAUUGAUUUGAUUCAUCCCAUUUCAUUUGGGCGAGAGGGAGGCUGUGAGUCACCUGGGCUACGAAUUUGUCGGUUGGUUGAUUCUCGAAAUCACCUCUUGAGAAAAGAAAAAAAAAAGGCCCUCGGGUCCCGACCCACAAAUGAGUAGGAAGCGGGGCGAGGGUCUUUCAUUAAAGGGGAGAAAAGAAAAGAGGGGUGUUCUGUUCUGGGGGGGCCGCCUUUCGCAGCUUUAGAAAGGAGAGAAUUUAAGAAAUCUCUCCAACCCCUUAGAAGUAGGGCGAGAGAAAGUUGAUAUUCGCGUUGGUUUUUCCAACGAAACUAAGUUGUCUUUAUCAUUCGAAGAGCUCAACACACUCUGAUUUCUUUCGUUUCCGAGAAAACUUCGUUCGAAUUUCAUGUGUUAAGCAUAUAAUCUUCCUUCUCAUGGCCAUCCCUUUCUUUUCUACCUUCUCUUACUCUUAUUCAAUUUUUAGAAAAAGGUCCUGCAGGAAUGAUCUAUUCUAUUAUACGAUGAUAGCACCUAUGAUAGAAGCAGGUCAACCUAAAAAAGGUGUAUGGUAUGCUUUUCUUCUUGAGCAGAAUAGAUGGCUAGUCCUGACAGUGGUUUUGCCUGCCAAAACCAAGCUAAAUAAAGUCCAAGGGUUCCAUGAUUGGAUAGGAAACGACCGAAGGAAGACUCGUCAUAAGAAUAUGAGCCCGGAUAAUACCCGGAAAGCAACUCCCAUCAGUGCCUUCUUAUUCUUAAGGGUGUUAGUCGGCUACCAUUGGCUUUAGUCCUGUAAGAAUGACUCGCCACUAACAGGAUCCUCUUUUUAUCUUAAUCGUCUUGAACAACCCGAUAAACUAAUAAAGGCCUAUCUGGCUUGAAGUGCUCAAGGAGACAUCACGCGUUCACUUAUUAUUCUACGAUAAACGAUUGAGGCUCUUAAAGCCCUUUUUGGAUAACCCUGAUGUCCUCUAAAAAAAAAUAAGUUGAUCCAAACAGAGAAGCGAUAAAAGCCUUUUUAGGAUCCAGUCAUGCCCUUCAAAAGUGCUAUCGAAGUCUUCCUAGCAAGGGUGUCAAGAACUGGUACAAUAGACCAAUCUUUCUGUGGAGUCAUGUCUAUCUGCUUGUAUCGAUGGAUAGCUUAUCGGAGACCGGUUUAGUAUUAGUAAAAGCACUAUUGGGCGUGACUUUAUCGUUCCAUAGCGCACUUCGAAGAAAGAUAAGAAUCCACUAUAGCUUGAUUUGAGAUAAUGAACCUGAGUUCACUGAACACUAAUGGAAUCUCGACUAUUAACAUCUACAAGCUACGAGUUCUGGCAUACUUGACUUUCCUUUAGAAAGGAUGUCCUACUUCUAUUUUCUAUUUCACCGAACCCUACUUUACUCAAUCAAUCUCCUAAUCUGAAUCCUACCUCCCUUACUACAACUAAAGCACCAACAGCGGGAGAGCCGACAUUACUAUAGAUGUGCAGCGCUAAGGCUAACAACUCAUUCUCUAACAGGAAAAGCAAAGUCCUCAUCUACCGCAUCAACAGGGAAUCCCGCAUCUGAUAAGGCAAGUCUACUUCCCGGAGCAAAGCAACAAAACUACGCUAUUCAAAGCAAUCUGCCCAAGGAGGGCUAAGCUAGUCUAGUCUAAUGCUAGGCUAGGUGAUUCCUCUCUUCUCUAUCAAUGACUGAAGCUUAAUCCAGAGAGAGAGCUCACUAUACCACCAGGUUGCCGCAUUUGCUUAUGAAACAAGAACAGCUUAUCCCGAGGAGAACAGAGCAUAAGUCGGAGAUCUUAGGGUAGUCACUCAAAAAGGAAUUUCAUCCGUCACUUCGCCCCCCCUUUUAAGACUGAUUCCUUCUAGGCGAGAAGGUUAGAAUAAAAGCAGCGCUUACGCUUAUUCCGACAACAGAUUCAUCGGUCCCUGGAUGCGUUCUAACAGAAUAAAGUCCGAAAGUCAUCAGGUACGGUUUCCUAAGCUACCUCACCGCACUAAGUCCAGUCUAUGGACCUUAGCCCAAGGAUAGAGACGGGGCUAAUGCUUCGGUCAUACUAGAUUACGAGGCUUACCGAACUACCUUUGCCGUAACUCAGAGAGAGAAGGCCGCUCAAGCAGAAUCCGAAUACGACUUUCGCUAAACAAGAGCUCUUUAUCUUUACUGCUAAGCUGAUCACAACUUCACAUUCAACAACAGCAAGAAGACGACUCUAGCCCGCUCCGCUGAAAGCUUUAAACAUUUGCUUUUCUCGAGUUCCUCGCCCAAAGGUUCUAGGGUUCGAGAGAGAAUUCCUACUCUAAGGAAGGGAAGAAGGUAAUCAAAUCAGUAGAAUGCUGCUUUCCGUACUAUCGCUUGUUCACAUUCAAGCAUGAGUUAGUUCAGAGUCGGGAAGGGGAAUCAGAGAAAGGGCAGUUUAGUCAACAAUCAUGACCAUGGGAACAUUUGUUCGCUUUCUAGGUACCCCCGAAUCUACUAGUCAUCGCCUUUGAGCUGGGAAAAGCAUUUACCUGGAGUCGGCUAUUCCUGAUUCAGCAAAGGAAAGAAGCCUUGAUCCCAAGACUAGCUGCGGAUUGGAUUCUUCCUUUCCUUUUAUCCGGACUAACUCUAAUCGUGAUUUUGACUCAAUUAUUCCCUCUGUCGCAAUAGAAAUCGAGAAUGGAGGUUACUUCACUACCUUUCUUGGUGAAGAAUAUUUCUUUCCUUGCCUCCGGAGAGUAGCCUUAGUAUUAAUCUCCCUUUAGUGAGGGGGGUGAUAUAAUUAUAAUAAUAAUAAGUUGUGAAAGAAUCGGUUUAGAACGUAUCCUCAGUUUUAGCCAUAUCCGUUGCUAGAGUAAGCGCUUGUCCUUUCUUUUUGUGGAAAAGGUUUUUGGUAUAUAUUUCACACAUCGAGCUUGCUGGCAGAAGUAAAGCACUAUCCACACCCGCUGACUUUUGGUGAGAAAUCAACCAUUUCCCCGGUUGCCUUAGACCCUCAUAAGUCAACUCCUCUUGCAAAGCAAGGUAUCGGUGACUGCUUUCACUCUCAUUCCAUGGGACCGCCUUCAACACAUAAGCCAACCCACCUCUGCCAUAGCUGCAUUCAACCAUAUAAGAAAGAUGUUCUGUUCGGCUGGAGAAGACGUCUACCUCAACUACAAGGGGCACAGCCUCCUCCCCCAAUCAAAUAAGACUUUUCCGCCCGACAACGAAUCUAAAGAUUCUCCUCCCGAAAUAGCUUCUGCUGAAGAAAAUUCCAUCCAGAUGGUUGCAUUUAAGCCAGCAGGAAGUGCAUAGCUGUAGGCACUUUCCUAAAAUCUAGGAUCUAUUGAGAACUACGAAGAAGUGAUUUAAAGAUUUUCUUGGAAUGGAAGAUCCGCUUGAAGUUCAUCGUUUGUUCAUCCAUCCGCUCCACCUCGACCUCGAGCAAUAGAGAACUGGAAGGCUGCGCCCCUCUAUCGGCAACUAACUAGAACCCUCUAUUACCGAGCAAGUAGAGGUGCCAGGCUUACUGCCUUUUAUUUAGUGGAAAGCAGAAGAGGGAAAGAGAGUAAAAAACCUAUCUUUUCUUUACCAAAGUGGGGAACGGAAAAAGGUUAUAGGUAGGCUUUGGGAAAAGUAGGUGUAAAUAAGGUUCCUUCCAUGCUUGGAAGAGUAUGACGUGUGAAUGAGGAAGUAAACACGGCUAUAUCACUUAUUGAAAUUCAGGUGGGUAGCGGGCGAUCCCUUCUUUUUUAGAAAAUGUUAGGUACAAAUAGAAGGGUUCUUUAAGCCCCUACUAAUCAAAGAACCCUCCUUAUUCCCGACAUGCUAUGGUGCCCCACGAUCUGCUCUUUCCUUGAUCAGUACCUCUCUCAUACAAAUGGGUCGACCGAGAAAUCUACAAAAGAAUCACCUUGAUACUAAACCGGAUCGAGUCUCGAACGAGGAGCUGCUCCUACCUAAGUUCCCAGCUAUCUGAGUAGGUUUGUUAUCAAUUUCCGAAGUGAAUUGCAUUCAUCCUCCUCUCCCCCCGUCGAUCUUUCCGCUAGUCAGUAGCUCACUUGAGGAAGCGAAUGCGAAAGAAGAAAGAAAGGGUUUCAAUCAAGUUAUAGCGUAUAUAGAAUGCAACCCUUAUGGACUGAAUCUUUAUUACACCCUUGACGAGGAAACAAGAGUCAUUUACUACAUGCUUAUUGAUACAGGGAUGGAGCGUAUAGUGCUUAUAGAGAAUUUUGAAAACGGUGAAAGCGAGGAAAGAAAGAGGCGAAUCCACAAGAGUCUGAGAAGCCUCGAAAAUAAAGAAAAUAAGUCUUCGUGACGCGUCGGGUUCAACGACUUUGAGGGUUACCAAUAAGCCGCCCGGGCAUUAACAACGUUCAUCAAAGGGAGUGGAGCUACGUUUUUCAUCAUUGGAGACGGAUCCCGGGUUCAGCCUUUCACCGCAAGCUCGUGUUUGGGCCGUAGUGCUUGCAUAGCUACUUCAUCGGAUGGGAUCGCCCUUAUGAUUGAUGCCCCUUCACCUCCCCCGCCACUGCGGAUUCCCCUUUAGUUGCAUCAGCACUAGUCUCCCGAGGAGAGAGAGCUAACCCUUAGCUAAUUGGAACCCCUACGGGAGGUCCCUACUCCCCUAGAAGACAAGUACAACCACUAGGGAACGCCCACCCCAAACACUCCUUACGAGGGAAAGAGCUCGGAUCCAAGAAGCCAACUAUAGGAGUGAUCCUAUCAUUGGUAAGCCUAUCCAUUAGAAGUAGACCAAUUAUCUGACAUGUUGAUGACCCACGAAAGCCCUGUACUGGGAAAGCGGUAAGCUAAUCACUAGAUUGAUCUGUUACCUAAGGGGUAAGCCACUUCCAUAAAGGAGCGAGUAAACUCCAGCCCCUUUUAUGAAACCAACCGAAAGCAGAUCAAAUAAAGACUUGAGGAACGAAACGAGAUAGCGUAGUGAAAGUGCAGAUGUAGCGCACAGGCGAGUCGAGGUAGCGGAAUGAGGAAGAGCCAGAUAAGCCAAUCACAAGGAUAGAGCCCCAGUGACUCGAGUAAGAGACCAAAGGAAAGGUCUCAAUCCACAACUAUACAAGGGGCAAGUUCAGCAUUUACAGUUUUCUUUCUUGCCCUUUCUUCAAAGCAGGAAAUAUGCGCUAAAGGUAGAUAUUAGAUAUUCGUUUCGGGGUAAUAUAAUCUAUUCUAUUUCUUUCUUAGGUGACCAACCACUCCUGCCCUUGUUGCUUCUUCUCUUCUCUUGCUCACGGAUGGCUUCUCAACUUCGUCGAGCCUUGCCUUUCCUUUUCGAGACUUUAGGCCCUUGGCCUGGUCGGUCGAUCUAUGAAUGGAAGCAGGUGCAGUAGGUUUUAUAACAAAUGAAAUGUAGCCGGUCCCUUUAAGGAAGGGUAUUUGCACUCUUGCCUAUCUUCCUGGAACAAAAUUCCUCUUAUCCGCUAUCCCCUUUGGGAGAAAAGAGCUCGCUAGCAACUCUGAUCAUAGGCUCACACGACUUACUCUAUAUUACAUCAAGUAAGACUCUGUUCUUCCCAGUGCCCGGUUCCGAUGAAAUGAUUGAAAGCUAGGAAGUAUAGGAGUAUGGGAAAAUGAUUCCGAUGAUCGUUCAGCUCGUCCUUUGCUUCAUAAUUACCUUCUUCUUUACUCAGAGAGGAGCUUGGAUGCUUCAUAAGAGCUCGCUCAAUCCUUUUAGGAAUAGGAAGAAGAUUUUCCAUAAAAAGAAGAAAAUUGAGAAUGUUGACAUGAUCGCUCUACUCCCCCCUUGGUGCUUCGUCCAAACUAUAACUAUAGUUUUGUCUUCUUUUGUUAGUAGCUCCCGCAGGAGUGGACUUCCGCUUUAUCGAAUGCUUGCGCUUUAAAAACUUCCUAUUUCCCCUCUUCCGAAGAUGACACUGUCACAUCCCGAUUACUCAACCACAGCGGAUGCUACAUGGGCAGCUUAGCUAAGUACCGAACCCCGGGGUGCAAGAUCUCUAUAUUGAUAAAGCGCAGAGCUUAAACUAAAAAAAAUAGUUCAUCCAAGACCAUUUCCUAUAGGAGAGAACGGACCAGAAAGAAAUGAGGGACCCUUCUUUUUUACCUGGAGGGCUUUGAUGCCCAAUUCGCCUUCGAGAAGAAAGCACGGCCCGAGGAAAUGUUCAGGAACGCUAUGUUAAUAGGGUCUUUAAGACCUCACCCAGCAUCUAUUAAUUCAAUCAACAUACGUUUCAAAACAAAAAGAAUUUGGAAGCCAUAUAGCCAUUUCAGCCUUACUCCCUAUUCUCUCUUAAAUAAAGCUAUGAUAAAACUGGAGUAAUGUGGUUUCAGCUUCCUGUGAGCUGUAGAGUUAGUUAUCCCUUAUCAUCCUGGUAUUCCUCCUCUCUAUGAGAUGUGGGAUCGAGCCCUUCCUUUUUCUACAUCCUUUUGUAUGAUAAGGGCUUCGCUCCAUGUUUUAUCAAGCCUUUGCUCCACUAUCAACCACCGGAAUGGUUCUUUUGCCUGCCCCCGCUUUCCUCUCCCGCGGGAAGAGCUCGUUCGCCAAGUCCGAACUCUUAUGUCGAUGACGGCUCUCUUCGAUGCUAGCAACCGCGUUUGGCCCUUUUCCGCGCUUCUUUCAAUUUCCUUACAUUCUAGCUGAAGGUUUUGUUUAGCCUUUACUUAGAGAGGGGCAGAGCGGUACCACGUCCUUCCGUGCUCGUAGGUUGACUCCCCUAUGCAUCCCGACUAAGGUCUCACAAACGCGCACUUCCCUUAUGCAUCCAGCCGCUUCACUAAUGUGAAUAGGUUAUACAGAAGGGUGGGUUGGUUAUAUACUCUUAUGCGCGCUCCUUCUUCGAACCUUUUGGUAUGUAUUGCCCCUAACUAUAGAUCAGAUCCACCAGACGAGAAACUCAAUUCCGCACUGCUGCUGAGUCGUCGGACUUAUCCACCAAGGGAUUCGUGGAAUUUCUGUGGAUUGCGUUGGGGGAAAUCUACCAAAGCUAGGCAGAUGGAUAGACUCCUUUCCCGCUGCUAAGGGGGAGCAAGAAAAAAAAGAAAAUGAUUGUUUUUUAAUCAGCGCUUGGGUAUGCAGAUACUAAGAGUCUUCUCACUACCAACCAGCGGACAUCAUCUGGCUGGGUCUUGCCGAUAUCAACAACGAGAAAAAAACAACCAAAUGGAAACAGCAACUAACUAUGGCUCUUGGCCUAGACAACGCCCUAGGCGUAGGGGAGAUCGGAGCAACAGGGAACGCCUAGACGACGUUUUUCUUCCUGGGCUGCAGUAAGUAGAUCGAGAGGUCGUUCCGCCCCUUGUCCCCGAAGAUGGGUAAUAUGUUCUCAAAAAAUCUUGCUCCAAUCUGACCUAGCUGGCGAGCGAUCCCAGUUCGCGGCAGAGAACAAGACAGCAAGCGAGCGUACCUUUGGUCGCUUCUUCUCCACCAAGCACGGAAGUUUAAGGAUAACUGUAGGUCGGUGGCUACCUAAGGAAACUCCGAUUCGAUCCGCCCCCGGCUGGGAGGCAUUUACCUCAUCCCGAUCACAAGGAGAGGUUCACCAUGAUGUGGGGUACUUAUUUGAUUUUCCCUUCCGGAAAGAAUGAAAUGCGUAGGGGACCAUCCUUUUGUUGCGGCAUGCUCCUCAGAUUUACGGAUUCGCAGGGGGCCUCAGGCCCUACUUAGUUGACUGACAAUGACAAAGGCUUGCGAAACUAAGUAGGGCCUUUUGAAUUGAAUCUUAAGUAGUCUAUCAGUGGUGCGAAGCGGCUUUGCCCCUUUUCAGUAGGGGAGCGAAAGGUUAGACUUAGACCUUAGAAAGUCAGCGAACAGCGGUUCUUCUAUGUAGGUAUGGUGUUCCCCUUGACUUGACUCUCCUAACGUCGAGCUAAGUGACUUCGUAACCUUUGCGUAGCGUAGUAGAAUGAAGGCUACGCACUGACGCUCUCUUAUCUAUUAGCCUAAGCGUCUUCGCUAACUCGCUCGCCUACUAUACUAUACCCGACUAUACAAUACAUUAGUAGAAGUAAGCGGCUGAGUUAGCAAAGCCUACCCUACUAAUGUAUUGUAUAGUAGCGCCUUUUCCUUUUUGAAUAACCCAUUCUCAUUAUCUUUCAUAAGUCAAGUAGGCGAACCUAUAGGUCCUUAAUUGCGUUGACAAAGAAGAACAGCCGGUUAAAAGACAGCGAAUCUUAUAUUAUUAUAUAGAAUAAUAUAUAUUUAUAGAAUAAUAUAUAUUUAUAGAUAGGCCAGCUUGACAAGCUACCCUUCUUCUUGAUCUGAGGUGCGAAGAGAAACAUCUCUUUUUUAUGACUUCCACUUUUCAAUCCCGGCCCGGAAAAGUGACCGACCAGGGCCUAUUGAUGAAUGAAAGAAAGGGUUUAUGAGCCCUAGCCCUGUAAGCCCACACCUGUGUAGAGUAGAUCGUUCAACACCUGCGGCACAAACCCAUUUUUGACCUAUUGGUCCUAGUCUCAUAGGCGAUCGAACGGCCGCCCCCUAAUUACUAGACCGACCUGCUGUAAUAAUUCCAUAAACACCUAGCGAAGAUAUGGCAAACAAAUAAAGUAGUCCUAUGUUCGGAUCUGACAAUACCAUACCAUAAUCAAAAGGUACAACGGCCCGAGCGACCAGACUUAACAUAAAUGUAACCACUGGAGCCAUUCUAAAAAGGGAGAAAUUAGCACUACUCGGUGAAAUAGGUUCUUUUAGAAUCAAUUUCGAACCAUCUGCUAGAGGUUGUAACAAUCCGAACGAUCCCACUACAUCAGGACCCUUUCGACGUUGCACAAAAGCCAUUACUUUACGUUCAGCUAGCACUAAAAAGGCUAUUCCUAGUAUAAGUGGUAGAAUUAUUCCAAGUAUUUCAGCUGGAACAGCUAUGUACGUUUUCUAUUUUGUAUUUACUCAUGAUCUGGCCUGGUCGACCCAAUCAUGAUAUUGAAGGAUGGGACCUUUUCUCGAAAAACUCCAUAUCCCUGCUCGAAGAGAUGGUCAUCUGGGCUUCACUGCUACAGGUGUCAUCACCCUGCAAAGAGGUGAAACCAACCAAGAUGUAUGUCGUCCGACCCAACCUCAGACUCUUUCUUCCCGACCUAUUUGACUGCCGCAGUUAUUUAGGUGGUAUCCCGAGAUUGAAGAGAUCGAAUUCCUCCUGGGAACACACGAAACAAAGAUAUGAACUAGGUAAAUAGAAAUGGAAAAGAGAUGUUUCCAAUUCAUCAAAAUCAGAAGCUUUUUCUACAUCCAUAUGAUCUACUAAAGUAGAUCGGUAUUGCCCAUAUAAUGAAAGCAGAUCUUGGUCCAUGGAGUCCCAAGAAGGUAAUAACUUCAACCUGUCCGAUGCUUCUUCGGCCAAAUACGAUAUACAAGUGGGACCUGCACUAUGAGCAAGCUGCGCGAAAAAACCGCUUCUUUUUUCCGGUUCCGCAACAACUUGGACGAAAUGGGGUUCUACCGGGAAACCAUGAAUUUUUUAGUUUUCGCCAUUGGUUACUGGUCGAGCCACUGGAAUGGAAUGAGAUAAGAAUCUCUGGAGAUCUUUCCUCUCCACU